CGCCUUAUGGCCUACGCCUCCGUAAUGUGGUCGCUGAUUAGGAUGUUCCAGAACAAUCUAGAUGACCAAGGUUUAGUAUAAAAGAACCAACAAGAGACCCGUCACAAUACAAAUGAAUUUGUCAAUUUUUAAAUAUGCGUUAAAUUUUAAAUCCGCCUUAAAUCUGAGGCGGAUACCGAAAACAAAACAAAAUACAUCAGAGGAAGGGAGCGCGGACCAACCGAACACCAUCCCCAAAAAACAAGUGCCGCCUGAGCAAGGCAGACAUCAAGAGGAAGGGGCCGGAGAGAGCGGGGACCAACCGAACAUCAUCCCCAAAAGACAAGUGCCGCCUGAGCAAGGCAGACAUCAAGAGGAAUGGGCCAGAGAGAGCGGGGACCAACCGAACACCAUCCCCAAAAGACAAGUGCCGCCUGAGCAAGGCAGACAUCAAGAGGAAUGGGCCGGAGAGAGCGGGGACCAACCAAACACCAUCCCCAAAGACAAGGGCACUUAUUUCCAUCCGUCAAUCAGAUUGCUAAAUUUUACCUUUGAUUUUACCUAUUUAAUAGAGCUGGGUUUCGAUUCAAAUUUCAAGAAUCGAUUCGAUUCCGAUUUUUAAGUUUCAGAAUCGCUUUUUUCCAAUUUUCUCAGAUUCCAUCCGAUUCGAUCAGAUUUUCAUCUGAUUUCCGAUUCGAUUCGAUUUCGAUUCGAUCCGGGGGUUAAUGUUAUUAAAAAUGAAAAAUGUA